rnacentral:rRNA from 1 species
UACAGAGGUGGCAAGCGUUGUUCGGAAUUACUGGGCGUAAAGGGCGCGUAGGCGGUCUUGUCAGUCCCUUGUGAAAUCCCCCGGCUCAACUGGGGAACUGCAAGGGAAACAGCAGGGCUUGAGUGCCGGAGAGGGUGGCGGAAUUCCCGGUGUAGAGGUGAAAUUCGUAGAUAUCGGGAGGAACACCAGUGGCGAAGGCGGCCACCUGGACGGACACUGACGCUGAGACGCGAAAGCGUGGGGAGCAAACAGG